ACCCAUGACCAGCUCUGAAACCAGACUGCAUAGCAGAGACGGUGUGGUGAGAUUCGAAAUGAUCCACCAGGCACCGACAGAGGAGAGCAGAGCAGCCAUAGCAAAGAUGACACAGAAAGGAGACAAGAUGGCCACCAGCAUCCAGCACUGAUCAGAGGAUGGAGUUGCUGAAGACAGAGAGCAUCAGUAGAUUGAGAAGGAGAUGGUGUCUUUGACCCACUGGUCUGAUCUGUUUCAAGGAAAUACACAUUUCCAUUGAUAGUUUUGCCUCAUGGAACUAAACAUGGAAAUAGUGUGAAAGUUGAAGGAUGCUAUUAAAUACAUACCAUCACGGUCAAAUGUAA